AGCUUCAGCUAGGGGUCCGCACUUGGAGAUUAAAUUGUGGUGCGCAAUAAACUUGUUAGCAACAUCUAUUUUUUUCAGGCUCCAAGUGUCGGUGAGACAGUCCCUUAAUACCUGAUGCGGAUAAUGCCGCCGUAGGGAAGCUAGAGAUAUCCGCU
rnacentral:ncRNA from 1 species